GUACCUUGGGGUAUUUUGCUGCAGCAAUGGAUUUCAGUAUACUUUGACACAUAAUUUAUGUCAUCAAGACUCAUGUCACAAACAAUUGGUUAUUCAUAAUACAUAGUAACAAGAGGUGUGAUCAACUAUGCAGUUUACAUUGUGCAAGUUAGUGGUCCAAGUUGAGAGAGUAGUGAACAGUCUACCAUCUUCCUGCAUUUUGUUGACCUUUGGAGAUACUGUCUUUCAAAGAGACAGAAUAGCAAUUUCUAUUGCCG